UACGUAGGGGGCGAGCGUUGUCCGGAGUUACUGGGCGUAAAGGGCAUGCAGGCGGUCGGACGCGUUUUGUGUGACAGCGGGUGGCUCAACUACCCGAGCAUGCGAAAGACGGUCGGACUUGAGGACUCGAGAGGGACACGGAAUUCCGGGUGGAGUGGUGGAAAUGCGUAGAGAUCCGGGAGGAACACCGAAGGCGAAGGCAGUGUCCUGGCGAGUGACUGACGCUGAGGUGCGAAAGCCAGGGGAGGCGAACGGG
rnacentral:rRNA from 1 species